rnacentral:lncRNA from 1 species
AUUUUUUAAAAACUGAAGUAUAAUUGACUUACAACACUAUGUUAGUUCCAGGUGUACACAUAGUGAUUCAAUAUUUCUGUACAUUACAAAAUCACUUCAGUAUUCAUAAAAUCACUGCAGUAUUUUGCUAUAUUUUAAUUGUUGGUCUGAGUGGUCACUCCAUGGGUAUUAGUUAUUAUAUAAUGUAGCUGAACCACAGUGACUCCACUUUGUCAGCUCCACCUUAGGCCUGCAUUCCUAACCCCUCUCCUUUCUAUGUGACUGAGUUUCGGCCUACUCACAAGGAAUGUACUCAAGCCAGAGAAGUUUCCUAUCAACUUUUACCCUGUCUUCCACCUAAUAUGAGAACUGCAAGAAUGUUUCGCUGACAUAGAUGGUUAAUGGUUUGCAAAGAAGGUCAUAAGACCUCUAGGGGGAGGAAAAUCCUCCAGUUCUCAUUGGUGCAGAUGUGCUUCUCCCUUAGUCAGAUUUAUUUUUAGCUUUGCCCCCUUUAAAUUCCCCUGUACAACGGGGAAUACAGUGCAAAUGCUUGCCCACAUGUAAGUUACCCACAAUAAACUCCAUAAUGGCACUUUGUGGAGUUGCCUGCUUCAUUUUUUUGGUAUCAAAGUUCUUUGUCAGUUUAGGAGAUAUUAUUCAAUAUCCUCGCCUUUGAAAAUCAUAGUAUUUUGCUUUAAACCAAUAUAUGCUACAUAACAUACAUAUGUUAAACAUAUAUAUAACUUUUAUAUAUAUGUAUAAUAAUGUAUUUUACAAAGAACAACAAAGCUAUGGAAUUGGACUCAAAGGGGAGAGAGAGAAAGAAAGUUUUGUUGUUGUUGUUGUGGUUGUCUUUUUAGGGCCAUACCCACAACAUAUGGAGGUUCCCAGGAUAGGGUUUGAAUCGGGGCUGCAGCUGCCAGCCUACACCACAGCCACAGCAACUUGGGAUCCGAGCCUUGUCUGUGACGUACACCACAACUCACAGCAACACUGGAUCCUUAAUCCAUUGAAUGAGGUCAGGGAUUGAACCUGCGUCCUCAUGGAUACUAGUCAGAUUCAUUUCUGCUGAGCCAUGACAGGAACUCCGAGAAAGAAAGUUUUUGAAUAAUAAACAGAUGGAGAAGAGAAAUUAUUCUGUGUCCUGUAUUAUAUUGGGGGCAGAUAACCUAGUGAUAUUGAUGAAACACGAAAUGAAGGAUGAAAGGAAUGAGCAGAAGAUGUAAGGAAGAAAAAUAUGAGUUAAAAAAAGUAAUAGUCUUUAGUAACCUGAUGGAGAUUAAAAAUGAAAUAUGUAAAGAAUUUUAAUAAACACGUAUAUAUAGUUUAUAAUUGAAAUAACUAUGGAAUCUGUCUUCAACUAAGAUAGAUUUUCCUUUGUUUCAGAUAAUAAAUAUUCAACCUUGCCUUCUUUCAAAGUUCCUUUUACUCAAAGCUUUAACAUUUAUUUAUUUUAUAUAUUUUAUAAACUAUAUUUAUAUGUCUAUAAAAGCCAACGACAAAUAUUCAUUUAUUUUCUUACUCACCCUAUGAUAGGUUUUCCAAAGAAUCCAGUUUCUACUCUGGCAUCUCCUCAUCUUCCACGCUCUACAGUUCAUGACACUGUUGGCAGGACCUCUUACCGUUCCCUCACCAGGGCUUUGCACUUAUCCCAAGGCCUGCCAUCCUCCAGAUCCCAUGGUUGCUCCCUCCCUCAUUCCACUUGGCUCAAAAGGUGGCCUGAGGACAGUCUUUUUGACAACAAUUUCUAAAACAGCUGCACCACACUCACACUCUUUCUUACCUUGCUUGAUUUUCUUUUAAACAUGAAGAAAGUGUUUAAUUGCUCUAUAAUCAAAUACAUGCAAAUAAAAAAUAUAAGGAGAUAAUAGUUUUCAGCUGUCAAAUUACCAAUGCUGGAAGAAAUUUUUCAUAUACUGAAAUAUGGAGAAGACAUUCUAGCUUAUACAUGAUUUGACAUUGAUGUUAUGCUAAUUUUAUUCUGUUUUAUAGUCUCUCAAACAUAUAUUGGGAGUUCCCAUUGUGGCAACCUGCAGCAUAAGUUGCAGCUCGGAUCUGGCAUUGAUGUGGCUGUGGCUGUGGCGGCAGCUACAGGUCUAUUAGACCCCUAGCCUGGGAACUUCCAUAUGCCACAGGAGCAGCCCUAGAAAAGGCAAAAAGACAAAAACAAACAAACAAACAAACAAGUAUGAAAAUAUAUAAGAAAUGAGAAAGCACAUUUAAUCCAAAAUUUGUUCCCAAAAUUGGUAUAACUCAGAUUCACCUAGGGAAUUUAUUAAAAUCAUUAAUGUCUUGAUUCUGCCCAGACAUACUGAACUGGAACCUUAAGUUAGCUCUGAAGCAGGAAUAUGGACAAUUGCAAUAAUGCAGUUCUCACUAUCUGCCAGCAUAUCAUUAUAUCUUUGUAUCUGUCACCGCUACGGAAUGUAAGCUUCAACUAGAACAUGUAAUUUGCUUUGCUGAGGGAGAAUGGGCAAUCUUGAAUCCUAGGAGGAGUCAGGGAGACAGGACUAAAGAAGGAAGGACAAAAGGUAAUAUGUGAUUAUACAGAAUCAGCAAAGGGGGCUUAAAAUAUAUUUUUCAAAGGUAAUACUGGGCAGUGUACAAAGUAAGCCACUACCUCCACUGGGAAAUCUUCAGCUCGGUAUUGAUUUCUCACUAAUGAAUAGAGAAGAAGGGACUGAUAAAGGUAAGUGAGAAGAACUGCUGAGUCCUGCUUUAAGGAGGGUGGGGAAGGUGGGCCAUGAAGACUGGCAGUGGGUCAGCCACCAGGGUCAUGUGUACUCACCUUGAGAAGAAUAUUUUUCGUGGUAAAUUUCAUAGGCUUUUCUAUGGGCCUCAGUGAGGAUCUGGAGAUGUGACGCUCUUGAUUCCUGGUGGGGAAGUUCUGUUAUCACCUCCUCCAAGUCACUAAAAGUGAACCAGAUCUUAACUAGGUCCCCAAAAGAGUGGAAGACGAAGGAGGCAUAGUCAGCAAAGAGAUCAGCAAAGGCCUCACUUCUCUGGACGGUGCUGGCAGGGAGGGUCUGGUGGUGCAGGACCACCAGGGGCUGAAGUUGAGCAGUCUCAAGGGCCUCAAGGAGUUGCCGGUAGCACUGCACCAUUCUCUUGUCUGGGUUCUUGGAGCUUCCUUCUGGGAGAAGUUGUGCCCAAGGUAGAAAUACCUUAUAGUGGGUGAUCAUACUGGCACGAACACUGCUAAAAUACUCUGGCAAGAAAGCAGGCAGUGGCUGGCGACACACAUAAAUACCUUUGUCUCCUGCUCCAAAGUGAGAAUCCUGGUGUCCCAGUGGACCCCUCAGGUCGUAUAGCAAGUCAGUGGUUAGAGGACCAGCAGCUAAAAUGAAGUUUCUAU